rnacentral:rRNA from 1 species
UUAUGGCUCAGGAUGAACGCUAGCGACAGGCUAACACAUGCAAGUCGAGGGGCAUCACGGGAUAGCAAUAUUCUGGUGGCGACCGGCGCACGGGUGAGUAACGCGUAUGCAACUUACCUGUCAGAGGGGGAUAAUCCGGCGAAAGUCGGUCUAAUACCCCAUAAAACAGGGACCCCACCUGGGGUUAUUUGUUAAAGGAUUUAUCGCUGACAGAUAGGCAUGCGUUCCAUUAGGUAGUUGGUCGGGGUAACGGCCCACCAAGCCAUCGAUGGAUAGGGGUUCUGAGAGGAAGGUCCCCCACACUGGUACUGAGACACGGACCAGACUCCUACGGGAGGCAGCAGUGAGGAAUAUUGGUCAAUGGGCGAGAGCCUGAACCAGCCAAGUCGCGUGAAGGAUGACUGCCCUAUGGGUUGUAAACUUCUUUUAUAAGGGAAUAAAGUGCGGGACGUGUCCCGUUUUGUAUGUACCUUAUGAAUAAGCAUCGGCUAACUCCGUGCCAGCCGCGGC